CGUAGGUGACCUGCGGAGGGAUCAUUACACAAUAUGAAGGCGGGCUGGAUCCCUCCUGCUGGGCACUGCUUCACGGCGUGCGCAGUAGGGGCCGGCCCUGCUGAACUAUUCACCCGUGUCUUUUGCGUACCUCUUGUUUCCUGGGCGGGCUCGCCCGCCACCAGGACCAACCAUAAACCUUUUUGUAAUAGCAAUCCGCGUCAGUAACAACGUAAUUAAUUACAACUUUCAACAACGGAUCUCUUGGUUCUGGCAUCGAUGAAGAACGCAGCGAAAUGCGAUACGUAGUGUGAAUUGCAGAAUUCAGUGAAUCAUCGAAUCUUUGAACGCACAUUGCGCCCUUUGGUAUUCCAAAGGGCAUGCCUGUUCGAGCGUCAUUUGUACCCUCAAGCUUUGCUUGGUGUUGGGCGUCUUUGUCUCCAGCUUGCUGGAGACUCGCCUUAAAGUCAUUGGCAGCCGGCCUACUGGUUUCGGAGCGCAGCACAAGUCGCGCUCUUCAUCCAGCCAAGGUCAGCGUCCAGCAAGCCUUUUUUCAACCUUUGACCUCGGAUCAGGUAGGGAUACCCGCUGAACUUAAGCAUAUCAU
rnacentral:rRNA from 1 species